GAUGUGGGUUGAGCUUGCAGCUCAAGC
rnacentral:ribozyme from 1 species